rnacentral:lncRNA from 1 species
GCAGGGGUGUAGAGGUGAAGAAGAGCUCUGGGGAUAGGUCAAGUCAGCUGGGCUGUGCUACCACGGGCAGCAGCAGUCUGCAGGAGAGCCCUGAACAUCAGUCUACUGGAUGCUGUAGCCCAAGUGACAACAACGUAACUGCGGAGCAAAUGCUGGAGCAGUAGAAAUGCUAGAGCUUCUAAAAUCCGCUCAGUGAGCUGAUUAGUUACAAAUAUGAAGGAAGCAUCAGCUCAUUCAGUACAAGCAAUGGAGCCUAGGAAUUAACAGUGAAGACUGGACAUAGCUGGAGCAAAUGACUUAACCUCUCUCUGCCCGUUUCCCUCAUCUGAGAAAUGCCGGCUGCCAAAGGGCUAUUCGAUGAAAACAUUACAUACCAUCAUUGAGAUAUGCACUCUUUCAACCUGAGAACGCUUAUUGAAAGGAGCCAAGGGUUAUUCUGUAACUAUGUGCUCAGGCAAGGAAGAUUUCCCACUUCUCCACUAACAACAGUCAGAAGCCAAAAGCUCCACUCAGGUGCUUGGCUACAUUUUGCCUUAAAGGACAGCUGAAGUGGUGCGGUUACCUCCACCCCAACAAGGACUAAGAAAGACGUCUGCCCAACACUAUGGAGCCGAUUUUACCACAGAGCUUUAGGAAUUAGGAAUAUCAUUUGAGCCACGAUUCUAAGGGAGCUGGGGCGGCAGGGGCUGCAGACAGCCACUCUAGAGAGAGACAGCAUCUUUGGAGAAGACUAAGGUGGCAAUUCGUUUUCCAUGUGGAAAUUCUUCUUGAGGAUCUAAGCACCAGCCCAAACCACACAAGGUUAUGUAUUUCAAUAAAGAGGCCAUU